UCCUGCCAAGAAGAAACAGACAUCUCUGCAGUCCCAUAGCAACGGGACUGAAAUUGCUCAGGAGGAAAUUCGCCCCCGUCUGCAGCAUCUGUGAAAAUCCCAUCAUCCCUCGGGAUGGGAAAGAUGCCUUCAAAAUCGAAUGCAUGGGAAGAAACUUCCAUGAAAAUUGCUACAGGUGUGAGGACUGUAGGAUCCUCCUGUCUGUCGAGCCCACGGACCAAGGCUGCUACCCCCUGAACAACCAUCUCUUCUGCAAGCCGUGCCAUGUGAAGCGGAGUGCUGCGGGGUGCUGCUGAGAGUGCCCGCUGGGCAGUGAACAG
rnacentral:sRNA from 1 species